rnacentral:rRNA from 1 species
CGAGGUGCAAGCGUUAAUCGGAAUUACUGGGCGUAAGCGCGCGUAGGUGGUUGUUAAGUUGGAUGUGAAGCCCCGGCUCAACCUGGGAACUGCAUCCAAACUAGGGCAAGCUAGAGUAUGGCAGAGGGUGGUGGAAUUUCCUGUGUAGCGGUGAAAUGCGUAGAUAUAGGAAGGAACACCAGUGGCGAAGGCGACCACCUUGGGGCUAAUACUGACACUGAGGUGCGAAAGCGUGGGGAGCAAACAGGAUU